CUUCAGUCUCUGCUCAAUGCUAUCUCCAUAUUUGCUCCUGAAGGUCACUCUUAGGGCAGCAAAGGGCUGUGAUUCUUCAGGGAGGAAUCUUCCACAGCUGCGUGCGUGCAUGGCUUCUACUUAGGAAAGUGACAUUCAGGUGGUGCCUGUCAUUUUGGAGGCUAGAAUAAGCAAAGGAACACUAUAAGUUAGCCUCGAGACGAGAUAGUAAUAAACACCCCGGUGCCCACAUCAAAGUCCCCCAAGACCACCGCAGAGGCUCGCCUUGCUGCGGUGGGUAACCCCACGAGAGCCCCCAGCAGUGGAAGUUGUCGCAACUCAUCUCAAGCUCCCAGCUUAUUUCUCCUCUUCCGUUUCACGCCCGUCUCCAGCUGCAGCUGCUCAAAGCAAGCCUCCGGCUUGCAGGGGUGGGGAGGUGGGCCAAAGCAAGGGAAAGUACCCCAGGGCCCACACUGCUGCAAAGGGGGACUGAAACAUGUACAGAGAUUCUUUGCUGUCCUUCCCGUAGCCCAUUCUGGACAUAAGUAUCCCUCAGAGGCAAUGGCAGCUAUACACAGCAGUGGCCUUGAUCGAGAACUUGCAUCCUGGCCUUCCGGACUCCUUCUAUCCUUCCUUGCCAUCCCUUCCUGUCCUUCAUUGCCUGAGAGCUCAUUCCUGGUAAACCAGGUUACCUCUUCAAUCUGUGCUUUUAGCGGAGGUGUUUAGACAACUGGCCACCUAAAAGCAGACGCAACUCUGACUUUUAACUGCAUUCUUUUGUACCAGGUACUGCAUGUUUACUGGUGCUCAAGGUCUCUCCUGUGACCGUCCCAGGGGGAUGCUACGAUCACUCCUGGCUCCCGAAAACCCAGAAGACAAAUAUUGGGAAGUCAGGAGCCUGGAGUCACUGAGUCAAGGCCUGAAUGCCCCUGGCAUGGCUGGCUGUGAAGCUGCCGGAUGUUUGACGAGAGUACAGUUUCUACGGAAGAGAAAUGAAGAGCAGUUGUGUGUUCUCGGUGCAGCUUCCUCCAGCUCCAGUUCCUCAUCUGACCACGUGCUCUGGGAUGGUAUCGCCCACAGGAGACUGUGCUAAUCCACAUCAGACAUUAAUCAAGCAAAUGACUCAUAGACUUUCCUGCGGGCUGUCUGAUAGAAGCAUUUUCUCAGCUGAGGCUCCUCUUCCCGGGGAACUCUAGCUUGUGCCAACUUGACAGAAACCUAACCAGGACAAGUAUUGUCCCACCCAGUCAACCUUUCCCUCUGGCUUCCCUGACCCCAAACUGUGACUAGCAGGAUAAAAGGCACUGGCACCACUGCUAUCCGUCACAUGAGAUGCAGCUGAGAGCUGAGCUGAAGCUGCUGCCAUGCCCUUAAGCACCACCCCCAAUUGUAAGAUAAAUAAAACAUAUAAAGGUCA